CAGAGUCCGGAGCGGCCGCGCGUCCCGGGCCGGGAGUCGCGGGAAGUUGGCGGGCGGGGCGGGCGCGCGGGAACCUGACAGGCCGGCGCCGCCCGGGCGGUGCUAGGGCCCGUCGGGGGUUCGGGUCCGGGGUGCGAGACCCGACUGAGACGGGGGCCUGAAGAAAGGGGACGGGACGAGGGGGGGAAUUGUGGAAUGUGAAGGAAAGGGGAGAAGGGACAGGUUGCGGGGGAGAGCAAGGAAGGAGAGGGGAGGGAGGGAGGGAGGGAGGGAGGGGGCGGGCGGGGCGGAGGAAGAGAGCGAGGGCCCCGAGAGAGCGCCUCAGGGGGUCACCGGCCUCCACUGGUCCUCCCACACAUCCUCCAGGAAAUUCGAGAAAACACUCUUCUCCGGGAGUGUUCCACCAGUGUCCAAAUAGGGAGGGAAAGUAGAGACAGCAGAAAACCUGGAGCCCGCGGAGAGAAGUAGGCAGCAAAGGGGCCAGGGAAAGUGUUGGUGAAGGGAGGCAAGAAGACGGAGGCCGCCAGGAGAGGUGGCCAGGGCUAACACAGGGGCUCUCGGACCCAGCAGUGCCCCCCCGCACCCCACCCCCCCGUCCCCACCACCGGGGGCCGGGCCCUGGCCCUGCUGCCUUCUGCGGACUUCAAGGCUGGAGGCAACCUGACGCUGGGCAAGGUGAUGCAUCUGACCUUCCUGACCCUGAACUGGAAGUAAAUGAGCCAAAGGCUCACUCAUGGAGAUAAAUCACUUCCAUUACCUGUCCUUGAGGAAUGAAGUUUCUCCUUGUUUCACGUGAGGAGAUGGAAGAGGGGCCCUGAAAAUUCAUCCUGGAAGCUCGCCUCCCCAACUAGAUUCUGCUGUAGGUCAUUCACCAGUGUAAACUAUUACAAGAACGAUUACUAGGAAAUUGAUACGAAAUCAGCACUUAGGGGAAAUCAGCAUUUAGGGGAAGAUAAGCUUGUGUGGUUCUAAUUUGAUGGGAGGAACAGGCUGUCUAGUCUCAGACUGGCAGGGGCUGAGCAUUCUCGGCUCCUUGCUGCAUUUGACGUCAUCAGUAUUGGCAGAUACCCCCAAAGAGUAGCAGAGUCCAGUUUAAAGAUGCGCCUCUUGAGAUUUGGCCAAGGACUUGGACUCUGGGAUAAGAUGGUUGUAUUUAGUUCCGAACAAGAUGGUUGUAAAGAUGGGGGACGUGAGUCAGGUUUUUGGUAUUUGUUUUUGGUGCCUCUCAUAUAUAUUAAAUUCCUCCCUUACCUAUUCGGAUAACCCAUCCGUAUGUAUUCUCUUUGUAUUUACUUCUAAGGUUGAGGGAAAAGAGAAAAUAAGCACCAUGACAGGACAGUUUGAGUUGGUUGCCAGGCUCAGAGUCGUGUUAAGAGGGGGG